rnacentral:tRNA from 1 species
GAGGCCUUAGCUUAAUUCAAGCGUCUAAAUUGCAAUUAGAAGAUGUGCGGUACUGCUGUACAGGUUUUGA